rnacentral:rRNA from 1 species
GACGAACCGUCCAAACGUUAUUCGGAAUCACUGGGCUUACAGAGUUCGUAGGCGGUCUGGAAAGUUGGGUGUGAAAUCCCUCGGCUCAACCGAGGAACUGCGCUUGAAACUACCAGACUCGAGGGAGAUAGAGGAAAGCGGAACUGAUGGUGGAGCGGUGAAAUGCGUUGAUAUCAUCAGGAACACCGGUGGCGAAGGCGGCUUUCUGGGUCUUUCCUGACGCUGAGGAACGAAAGCUUGGGGAGCGAACGGG